rnacentral:rRNA from 1 species
UACAGAGGUCCCGAGCGUUGUUCGGAUUCACUGGGCGUAAAGGGUGCGUAGGUGGUGAGGCAAGUCGGAUGUGAAAUCUCCAAGCUCAACUUGGAAAUGGCAUUGGAAACUACCUUGCUGGAGGUUUGGAGGGGGGACUGGAAUACUUGGUGUAGCAGUGAAAUGCGUAGAUAUCAAGUGGAACACCAGUGGCGAAGGCGGGUCUCUGGACAGUUCCUGACGCUGAGGCACGAAGGCCAGGGGAGCAAACGGG